GUGGGGAAUAUUGGACAAUGGGCGCAAGCCUGAUCCAGCCAUGCCGCGUGAGUGAUGAAGGCCUUCGGGUUGUAAAGCUCUUUAGUCCACGAAUAUAAUGACUGUAGUGGAAGAAUAAGCCCCGGCUAACUUCGUGCCAGCAGCCGCGGUAAUACGAAGGGGGCGAGCGUUAUUCGGAAUCACUGGGCGUAAAGCGUGCGUAGGCUGUUUUGUAAGUCAGAAGUGAAAGCCCAGGGCUUAACCCUGGAAUUGCUUUUGAAACUACAAGACUCGAAUUCGGGAGAGGAUAGCGGAAUUGUCAGUGUAGCAGUGAAAUGCGUAGAUAUUGACAGGAACACCAGUGGCGCAAGCGGCUAUCUGGACCGAUAUUGACGCUGAGGCACGAAAGCGUGGGGAGCAAACAGGAUUAGAAACCCCGGUAGUCC
rnacentral:rRNA from 1 species